rnacentral:rRNA from 1 species
AAAUGGACUCUCAGCAACG